AUCAGCAGUUAUAUCACUCUGCAACUCACAACUGGCAACCCAUUGAAGCUAAGUAGGUAUGAGCCUGGUCAUUACCUGGGUGAGAGACCUCCUGGGAAAAAUGGUUGCUGCUGGAA
rnacentral:rRNA from 1 species